GGCACUACGGUGCUGAAGCAACAAAUGCCCUGCUUCCAGGAAAAGCCUCUAAGCAUCAGGUAACAUCAAAUCGUACCCCAAACCGACACAGGUGGUCAGGUAGAGAAUACCAAGGCGCUUGAGAGAACUCGGGUGAAGGAACUAGGCAAAAUGGUGCCGUAACUUCGGGAGAAGGCACGCUGAUAUGUAGGUGAAGCGACUUGCUCGUGGAGCUGAAAUCAGUCGAAGAUACCAGCUGGCUGCAACUGUUUAUUAAAAACACAGCACUGUGCAAACACGAAAGUGGACGUAUACGGUGUGACGCCUGCCCGGUGCCGGAAGGUUAAUUGAUGGGGUCAGCGCAAGCGAAGCUCUUGAUCGAAGCCCCGGUAAACGGCGGCCGUAACUAUAACGGUCCUAAGGUAGCGAAAUUCCUUGUCGGGUAAGUUCCGACCUGCACGAAUGGCGUAAUGAUGGCCAGGCUGUCUCCACCCGAGACUCAGUGAAAUUGAACUCGCUGUGAAGAUGCAGUGUACCCGCGGCAAGACGGAAAGACCCCGUGAACCUUUACUAUAGCUUGACACUGAACAUUGAGCCUUGAUGUGUAGGAUAGGUGGGAGGCUUUGAAGUGUGGACGCCAGUCUGCAUGGAGCCGACCUUGAAAUACCACCCUUUAAUGUUUGAUGUUCUAACGUUGACCCGUGAUCCGGGUUGCGGACAGUGUCUGGUGGGUAGUUUGACUGGGGCGGUCUCCUCCUAAAGAGUAACGGAGGAGCACGAAGGUUGGCUAAUCCUGGUCGGACAUCAGGAGGUUAGUGCAAUGGCAUAAGCCAGCUUGACUGCGAGCGUGACGGCGCGAGCAGGUGCGAAAGCAGGUCAUAGUGAUCCGGUGGUUCUGAAUGGAAGGGCCAUCGCUCAACGGAUAAAAGGUACUCCGGGGAUAACAGGCUGAUACCGCCCAAGAGUUCAUAUCGACGGCGGUGUUUGGCACCUCGAUGUCGGCUCAUCACAUCCUGGGGCUGAAGUAGGUCCCAAGGGUAUGGCUGUUCGCCAUUUAAAGUGGUACGCGAGCUGGGUUUAGAACGUCGUGAGACAGUUCGGUCCCUAUCUGCCGUGGGCGCUGGAGAACUGAGGGGGGCUGCUCCUAGUACGAGAGGACCGGAGUGGACGCAUCACUGGUGUUCGGGUUGUCAUGCCAAUGGCACUGCCCGGUAGCUAAAUGCGGAAGAGAUAAGUGCUGAAAGCAUCUAAGCACGAAACUUGCCCCGAGAUGAGUUCUCCCUGACUCCUUGAGAGUCCUGAAGGAACGUUGAAGACGACGACGUUGAUAGGCCGGGUGUGUAAGCGCAGCGAUGCGUUGAGCUAACCGGUACUAAUGAACCGUGAGGCUUAACCUUACAACGCCGAAGCUGUU
rnacentral:rRNA from 1 species